rnacentral:rRNA from 1 species
CAGUAGCCGCGGUAACACGUAGGGUGCGAGCGUUAAUCGGAAUUACUGGGCGUAAAGCGUGCGCAGGCGGUUGUGUAAGACAGGUGUGAAAUCUCCGGGCUUAACCUGGGAACUGCGCUUGUGACUGCACAGCUAGAGUAUGGCAGGGGGGGGUGGAAUUCCACGUGUAGCAGUGAAAUGCGUAGAGAUGUGGAGAAACACCGAUGGCGAAGGCAGCCCCCUGGGCCAAUACUGACGCUCAUGCACGAAAGCGUGGGGAGCAAACAGGAUUAGAUACCCGUGUAGUCCCUGUCUCUUAUAC